UACGGAGGGGGCUAGCGUUGUUCGGAAUUACUGGGCGUAAAGCGCACGUAGGCGGCUUUGUAAGUUAGAGGUGAAAGCCCAGGGCUUAACCCUGGAAUUGCCUUUAAGACUGCAUCGCUAGAAUCGUGGAGAGGUGAGUGGAAUUCCCAGUGUAGAGGUGAAAUUCGUAGAUAUUGGGAAGAACACCGGUGGCGAAGGCGGCUCACUGGCUCAUUACUGACGGCUCAGGCGCGACAGCGUGGGGAUCAAACAGG
rnacentral:rRNA from 1 species